rnacentral:rRNA from 1 species
AGUGAACGCUGGCGGUAGGCCUAACACAUGCAAGUCGAACGGCAGCACAGUAAGAGCUUGCUCUUACGGGUGGCGAGUGGCGGACGGGUGAGGAAUACAUCGGAAUCUACUUUUUCGUGGGGGAUAACGUAGGGAAACUUACGCUAAUACCGCAUACGACCUACGGGUGAAAGCAGGGGAUCUUCAGACCUUGCGCGAUUGAAUGAGCCGAUGUCGGAUUAGCUAGUUGGCGGGGUAAAGGCCCACCAAGGCGACGAUCCGUAGCUGGUCUGAGAGGAUGAUCAGCCACACUGGAACUGAGACACGGUCCAGACUCCUAAGGGAGGCAGCAGUGGGGAAUAUUGGACAAUGGGCGCAAGCCUGAUCCAGCCAUACCGCGUGGGUGAAGAAGGCCUUCGGGUUGUAAAGCCCUUUUGUUGGGAAAGAAAAGCAGCAGGUUAAUACCCCGCUGUUCUGACGGUACCCAAAGAAUAAGCACCGGCUAACUUCGUG